CUAACACAUGCAAGUCGAACGGUAGCACAGAGAGCUUGCUCUCGGGUGACGAGUGGCGGACGGGUGAGUAAUGUCUGGGAAACUGCCUGAUGGAGGGGGAUAACUACUGGAAACGGUAGCUAAUACCGCAUAACGUCGCAAGACCAAAGAGGGGGACCUUCGGGCCUCUUGCCAUCAGAUGUGCCCAGAUGGGAUUAGCUAGUAGGUGGGGUAAUGGCUCACCUAGGCGACGAUCCCUAGCUGGUCUGAGAGGAUGACCAGCCACACUGGAACUGAGACACGGUCCAGUCUCCUACGGGAGGCAGCAGUGGGGAAUAUUGCACAAUGGGCGCAAGCCUGAUGCAGCCAUGCCGCGUGUAUGAAGAAGGCCUUCGGGUUGUAAAGUACUUUCAGCGGGGAGGAAGGUGUAGUGGUUAAUAACCACAGCAAUUGACGUUACCCGCAGAAGAAG
rnacentral:rRNA from 1 species